rnacentral:misc_RNA from 1 species
UGGUUCUGGCAUCGAUGAAGAACGCAGCGAAAUGCGAUAAGUAAUGUGAAUUGCAGAAUUCAGUGAAUCAUCGAAUCUUUGAACGCACAUUGCGCCCGCCAGUAUUCUGGCGGGCAUGCCUGUUCGAGCGUCAUUUCAACCCCUCGGGCCUCCGGGCCCGGCGUCGGGGCUUUCUCGCUUUCGAGCGAGAGCCUCUAGAGACAGUGGCGGACCCACCGCGGCUCCGAGCGCAGUAAUUUUGCAACGCUCCGGUGCUCCGCGGCGGGCCUCUUGCCGUGAAACUCCCAUCUCAUACAAGGUUGACCUCGGAUCAGGUAGGAAUACCCGCUGA